GCACGGGUGGCAGAGCCUGGAAAAUGCGGGAGGCUUAAGACCUCCUGACUUAGUGUCUACGCAGGUUCAAAUCCUGCCCCGUGCA
rnacentral:tRNA from 1 species